GGCCAGGCUGGUCUUGAACUCCUGACCUCAGGUGAUCUGCCCGCCUUGGCCUCCCAAAGUGUUGGGAUUACAGGCAUGAGCCACUGCACCUGGUCUAGAUUGGAUUUCUUAUCUUGCAAAGCCAAGGUGAAGUCCAGACCAUGAAAAAGCAGAAAAUGUAUCAAGAUAAAUACUACCUUGUGAGCCCUAUCAAUAGUCCUACCAAUAGCUUUCUGAUAUUGGAGGCUUUCAAAUGAGAUUUUUUUUUUUUAGGGUUACCAGCAAUUAAAAAGAAGUACUAGAGAGGCAAAUAUCGGCAGUAUACAUCUAAGCGCUGGUCGGAAAAGAAGGAACUCAGCCCAAGAACUUGCCCAAUCUGAUACUGGAGGUGCCACUCAAGAACCACUCCCUCCAAGAUGUUUUCCUGGAUUUCCUCAGCCUAAAGUAAUCCCUCUUUUUCCUGGCUAUACCAUCUGGAACAGAUGACUUCCAAGGACACCGUAGCAAAGAAAAAGAGAACUGGAAGCCCAUGUGCCUUAAUCGCUUCAUCCUAGAGGUAACACAGAACUUCUGCAUACAUUUCAUUGGCAGGAACUAAUCACCUAACCCCAAUUUAACCACAAGGAAGACUGGGAUAUGUAGAGGCAUAGCUAGUAGAUUUCACGUCUAUUAACAGUCUCUGCUAUACCCCCUCAGUACCAACUGACCACUAACUUCCCACCCCACUCACCAGGAAUGUAUAGCUGCUGAUGAUUUUCGAAUUCGGUAAGAGACUGGAUUGUGAAUAUCAGACCACCUCUUCAGUCUAACAGACAGUGCUUGUUUUACCUAAGGUGAGGAGACAGCACAGGCAGUACUCACUUGUUUGUCAGUUACAGUCCUUUUCCUCUCCCUCUCUCAUUACUCACCAUGAAACACACAUUGUCCCUUCUACUUCUGUCCCAAGCGUCACACUCAUAAGAACAUAAGAAGUGCCCCCAGAUCAAACAAGAGUGCUUGAAUAGAAAGUGAGAUAUUUCUUCUUUAUAAGGUUGACCUUACAAGGCUGAGGCAGGCUAUGCCUAAUUAUGUAGGGACCCUAAUGUCUCAUGGUUGUGUCAGCAUAAAUUAAUUAAUGAUUAACCCUCUAACAAGGCUAAGUGAACAGAAUUCCCCAGUGUCCUGAGAGAAGGAAAGUUAAUGUGUUCUUUCUCCCAGGAGGAGGAUAACCAGUGGAGCCUUUUCUGGAUUUCUCACUAGAAGUAAAGACCAAAUUUCCAGAAGGAACCUGAGAGAUAAAAAGUGGUUGGCUGCUCCUGACCUGACUCAUAGUGUUUAACUGAACCAUACCACUAGUGUAUACUAGUGUGUGUGUAUGUACAUGCAUACACACAUGCACACACACAUUCACACACAAUCCUAUGGUAUUUGGUGACUUUGGAUGCCCAGCUCUUGCAACAAUUUCCUGCUGUCAUUCUUUUCCCUUUGAAUCUCAGGGGUGAGCAAACUAAAGAAAUACUAUCAUCUUACUGCUUUUAGUAUAUUCCAUAGAAAAGGAGUGGCUGGAGUCAGUGUAGAUCAACCCAAGCAGUACAAAUCUGCCAGAAUUGCAGCUCAGCUUCCUUACCUCCAGCAUGUGUACCUUUCUGAAGGGUAGGCCCUUAAGCCAGACAUAAGUAAGUUAUCCACUCUGUGCAUAACUGUCUGACUUGGCUUAGAAGCAUGAAAGGGGCAGAAAUGUAAGAUGGGUAAAGAAGGGCUUCAUCUGAAAUAGGGCCAUGAUGAUUAGCUCUCUCUUUCCUUCCUUUGGCUUCAUUGCUGUAUUCCAUGUGGGUCUUGAUAUCUUGAAACUGGAUGAGAUACCCAAAUAGUCAGUCCCUGAAUAUAAAUCAUUUCCUUGUACAGAAUCACUGCCAAACUCAGUAUGGUUAAAAGAUUUUUAACACCCAGCUGCAGCAUUCACUCUGGUUAGAAUUGGCCAUUUAAAUUUAUUUCACAUAUGUAAGUAUCAUAUCCUUUAUAAUGCAUUCUUAAUUGUUGCUCAGUUCUUCCAGAUUGAAUUCCUUUAAAAAAUUCCUUAUGUAAUCUUUUAAUUCUAGUUGGAAAACAUCACUUGACAGUUGCUGUUUAUACAGGCAUGCCUCGUUUUAUUGUGCCUGGCUUUAUUGUACUUUGCAGAUACUGUGUUUUUCACAAAUGGAAGGUUUGUGGCAACCCUGCGUUAAGCAAGUCUGUUGGCACCAUUUUCUCGACAGCAUGUGCUAACUUUGUCUCUGUCUCACAUUUUGGUAAUUCUCUCAAUGUUUCAAACUUUUUCAUUAUGAUUACAUCUGUUAUGUGGAGCUGUGAUCAGUGAUCUUUGAUGUUAACAUUGUAAUUGUUUUGGGGUGCCACAACUGUGCCCAGAUAAGACAGUGAACUUAAUUGGUAAAUGUUUUAUGUGUUCAGACUGUUCCACUGACUAGCCCUUCUUCAAACUCUCUCACUCUCCUUGGGCCUCCCUAUUCCCUGAAAUACAACAAUAUUGAUAUUAAGCCAAUUAAUAACCCUACAAUGAUUUCCAAGUGUUUAAGUGAAAGGAAAGACAUGUAUGUUUCACCUUAAAUCAAAAGCUAGAAAUGGCCAGGCGUGGAGGCUCACGCCUGUAAUCCCAGCACUUUGGGAGGCCAAGGCGGGCGGAUCACAAGGUCAGGAGAUCGAGACCAUCCUGGCUAACACGGUGAAACCCUGUCUCUACUAAAAAAUACAAAAAAUUAGCCGGGCGUAGUGGCAGGCGCCUGUAGUCCCAGCUACAUGGGAGGCUGAGGCAGGAGAAUGGCGUGAACCUGGGAGGCGGAGCUUGCAGUGAGCCGAGAUCGCGCCACUGCAUUCCAGCCUGGGUGAC
ensembl:lncRNA LINC01285 long intergenic non-protein coding RNA 1285